UCAACGGAGAGUUUGAUCCUGGCUCAGGAUGAACGCUGGCGGCGUGCUUAACACAUGCAAGUCGAACGAUGAACCUCACUUGUGGGGGGAUUAGUGGCGAACGGGUGAGUAACACGUGAGUAACCUGCCCUUGACUCUGGGAUAAGCCUGGGAAACUGGGUCUAAUACCGGAUAUGACUGAUCAUCGCAUGGUGGUUGGUGGAAAGCUUUUGCGGUUUUGGAUGGACUCGCGGCCUAUCAGCUUGUUGGUGGGGUAAUGGCCUACCAAGGCGACGACGGGUAGCCGGCCUGAGAGGGUGACCGGCCACACUGGGACUGAGACACGGCCCAGACUCCUACGGGAGGCAGCAGUGGGGAAUAUUGCACAAUGGGCG
rnacentral:rRNA from 1 species